GACGAACGCUGGCGGCGUGCUUAACACAUGCAAGUCGAACGGAAAGGCCCGGCUUUUGUGGGGGGCUCGAGUGGCGAACGGGGGUGUAACACGUGAGUAACCUGCCCCUUACUUUGGGAUAACUUCAGGAAACUGGGGCUAAUACCGUAUAUGAGCCCCUGCUGCAUGGUGGGGGGUGGAAAGUUUCGGCGGUUGGGGAUGGACUCGCGGCUUAUCAGCUUGUUGGUGGGGUAGUGGCUUACCAAGGCUUUGACGGGUAGCCGGCCUGAGAGGGUGACCGGCCACACUGGGACUGAGAUACGGCCCAGACUCCUACGGGAGGCAGCAGUGGGGAAUAUUGCACAAUGGGCGGAAGCCUGAUGCAGCAACGCCGCGUGCGGGAUGACGGCCUUCGGGUUGUAAACCUCUUUCGCCUGUGACGAAGCGUGAGUGACGGUAAUGGGUAAAGAAGCACCGGCUAACUACGUG
rnacentral:rRNA from 1 species